CGUGUACCACAUCGUCCACUGCGUCUGGAGUUCGCGCAACCAGCUGUCUUUGGCCGGCGCGCUGCUCCGGACCAGAUCGUAAAGCUUCUGCAUCUUCUUGACGUUUUUGGUGGUCGGGUAUCUCGUUCCAUGUCUUAUUAUGGCAGUCAGAUGGAUUUCUCGACACUGUGCGGAUGGAGGCUGUAGAAUGGACGUGUUUACAGCCAGUAUGUCCUCUCUGAGAUAUGUGUUCACUUCCUCAUACCUCCCUUUCGUGUUGAAAUAUUUGGCGAUUGCUGGAAUAUUUAGGUCAUCCUCAAGUCUAACAAAAUUUAGCAAACAGCAGGAGAUGACACAGAAAUAAAAUACAGUAAA